GCCAGUUGCCAGUUGCCAGUUACCAGUCGGCAGUUGGUGCUCCGGGUUGGCCAGCUUAAGCUGUUCCCAAUGGAUGCUUAAAUUAUGGGACUACCAUUGAUCGCACUACCAUGAUGACUCCACCCAGCGUUUGGCUGGCUAUUAGCCGGGCCCGCUGCACAGCAAAACUCAUACCAAAGUUGGUAGGCAAAAACAAAAAAAGAAAAAACAGCGCCAAAAAUGCGCCUAAUUUGGAGAUGGCAAGCCAAACAAGCCAAGAGCCCCAAAAACGAUGAAAAGAUUGGAAAACACGCAAACUUGGCAGCUGCUGCUGCUGCUGUUGCUGGAUGGAAUCCGAGACUUGGACCUUGGACACACCUGUCCCAAAAUUGCAGCAAGUCAUGAGCUGCCUCCGGCCAGGAUUCAGGAUUAAAGCGCUUGGCUUCGUGUUCCCCAGUGUUUGGAGAUACCGCGAAAUAAAAAAAGCCACCUGAAGGGCAGUGCUUGUGGGUUGGCGGAGGAUUGGGGAGCAUUGUUGGAGAGGCAGCUUUGACGUGACUGGCAAAGUUUUUGGCAGGCGCCGCUAACGAGCGAAGCUCGUCCUCCGCCGCCCAGGAUCUCAUGUUGCUCAAAAAUGCUUAAACUAAAACUUGCUCAACAGAUUUGCGCUGGAAACUAGGAAAGAGAACAGCGGAGGGAUCCUUUUUACGGCUGCACUUCGCCGUGUCAUAUGGCGCUGGCACUCGGGUGUAAGUGUGUGUUUGACCUUUGACACUAAAACAAUUUGCAAAGCGAAAUGAUGUCAGCCCCAGUGUCCUGUCAUCUCCGACCCCUUCUCCACAUCACUGUUGUUUGCCGACUAGUGGCGUAAUUUAGUUGAAACAUUCUUAAAGUACCGCCUGUCGUAGAAUCCUGCGUCCUGGUGGGGCAAUGCAGGAACAGCGAUUCCGAGUGGGUGGAGCGGUGGGAAAACUCCGCGCGCAGCUCAUUAAAAAGUUUGCGAGUGACAACGGCGUCGGCGACAUUUGCUUAAGAAAACAUUUGGCGUCGGGAGUCGGGAGUCGGUUAACAACACCUUAAUGAUUAUCUAAGAGAUACUUUGAAAAUAAUCCACAAAGUGUGUGGGACAGAAGCUCAGAAGUAAAGUGUUCCGCUCUUGGGCUGAGUAAUUAAUUAUUCAUAAUAGCAGGCUAUAGAUAAACAACCACCUUCGCCAUAACAACAAAAUGUUUUUUGAUUGAAAUUUAAAUUAAAUUUGUUUACAAGAAUUCCGAGUACCAAGUUGUUGAGUUAUUUAUGAGCAGCUAUGAUAUAUUUCCGAAUAAUAAUUAUCAGAAAUAAUUUAUCCUAUUAAAUGAAAAGCUCUUAGCUCACUAU
ensembl:ncRNA lncRNA:CR46233 long non-coding RNA:CR46233